AUUCACGAAAGAGCGUUAUCUUCAAGUUCUCCAACAUGACCCAGCCUGCCUGGGAAAGUUUCACGCUCGGGGACCGGUCUCUCCCUUACUUGGGACCGGUUGCCCCGCACUGCGCGACCCUCAUCCUCGGGGCAACCGGUCCCUCACUGUCUGGGACCGGUCCCCGAGAGCAAGCUCGCGCAGACCACGUUCGGGAACCGGUCCCUCCCGCCAGGGACCGGUCCCCGAGAGCAAAUCUGCCAAGUGCAGAUUCUUACACCAUUUGCUCUCGCGGACUCCAUUGCAAUGCACUUUUGGUGUAUUUGACUUCUUCGGCUUUUUUCAAAGCACUCCCACUCGACAAUUAGUCGAUUUUGAGCGAAGUCCAACUCUCGCAUUUCGAGAAUUCACCUCUUACACCAAUCCUCACGUGGCUAUCUCUUAUUCAAGUAUCUACUAGAGAAUACCUUCUCUUUAUCCUUUGUUACCAUAAGCCACGUUCAACAUCACACGAAUCCCUCCGUUCGUGAAUCCAACCCCAACUCACUAACAGAGUUGCUGGCCGCACCGAUCAUCGAUUCUCACAGGCGGACCAACGGUCGUAAUCAUUACGUCUACCGCCUAAACCCGUCGCAACUACGCAUAGCGUCUCUCGCUCGCAUCGUAGACCCAAUCAUCAUCGGGCGACAUUCUCACUUGGGAAUUCGCACACACUCCAAUCAGGAGCAACCAAGACCUCAACCACGUCAAGUCCUCGGGUUGGGUCACUACACACCCUGUGUAUCCGCGAUCUCAUAAUCCAACACGCGGCAUUCCGCGUACUCGGGUCCAAGCUCGGACUACCAUCCUGACCAACUCUCUGCCCUACUUGUAGGUAUCGGGCCGCUGUCACUCACAGCUGACUGCGCCUGCCCAAUGGGUCCAGACUCCACAGUCCACAAAUGGUCCAGGCACGGAUCGUCCCCAAGCGAUACCCGUCGUCGUCGUCCUACACGACACACUCUAUCGAGCUGCACGCACCUAGUGCGAGCCACCAGCCCCACGAGUGAUCCAUGGCCCGCUUCACAC
rnacentral:lncRNA from 1 species